CUGUGUAGGUCAAAGAGCCAUUUGGAUCCAUUUCCCACAAAAAAGAAAUCACCGGGAGCCACAAAACCUAGAGCUGUGUCCUGUCCCAGGAAUAAGAUUUGGUCCAGAACCAAUCCAAAUAUGAAGAUCCUUUAUCUGCUCUUCGCAGUCCUUUUUUUUACCUUCCUGACUGAACCAGGUGCCGGCCAAGGGCAAACUCAACGUAGGUGUUAUUUGCUUCGCUGUCGUACUGGCUUCGUUCAAAUUGGAAGAAAUUGCUGUAGAAAUUUAAAAAAUAGUGUCAAAGGAAAAUGAUGCAAUCUCUAUCCUGGAUAUCUCUGAGUUAUGGCCAACGACCUGUCAUCACCGCCUGUUAUCGCUUUAGCUUCUCUUAUGUAAAUCAAAAUUGCUAUCUAUCAGACUCUAAAACAUGUAUACAUUGAAGCAAAAUUUGGCAUUUUUUUCCUUAAAAUAAAGCUAAAUCAGCAUUGCA